CUCGUCACCACAGUACCACACUCCAUACCCCCGUCCGGUGACGCCGCCGCCACCGCCGUGCCGGCGCGCUCUCGCCUUCCCCAUCGCCGUCGCCCCGGCAUCGGCGCGCGGCCGCCGUCGCCGCCGCCCAGGCCCGAGCCGCGCCGCUAAACUCUUCGUCGGACAGCUCGAAGAAUGUUUGAAGGAGUUGCUGUGGAUGGUUCCACAUCUUUGGUUGCUACUGCCGAUGAGCCUAUUGAGUGCAAUAGCUCGGACGACGCCAAUGCCGAUGAGCAAGAUGGCCCGUUGACCCCUCUCAACCCUGGCAACAAGAGGGCCAGCAGCACGAGCACCGCAGCUUCAAGGCCUAGCAAAAGGUCGAAGAGUAGUCCAGCAGUCAGGGCAAUGAACAACAUAAUGGGGGAGUACAACAAAAUUGCAAGGAACAAACUGUGCGUGCUGCAGAGGCUGUGGCAGGAAAGGGAAGAGCCCAUCCAGCAAAAACGUAAGGCUCUUGAGGCGAAGGUUAAACUGGUGAACAGGCUGGCAAGGGAGUGUGGUGUAACUCCACGGGAACCCCCACGUUGUUCCCGGGUGUUGUGGAGAUCGUCAAGAAAGAAAGUGUGAUGGACUUGUUCAUUGACACCGAGCCUGAAGGAAGGAUGAUCAUCAUCAAGAAAUAUGCCGAGGACAGCAACUAGACCUCAUCUAUUUUCGGUUUCUGUAGUAAUGUUGUCGUUUGCUUGUAGUGUAUGGUGUAUGUCUGUGUGUUUGAACUAUGUGUCUCAUGUGUGGUUUAUUAAUAACAUAAUCAUAGUAAGUUUGAUGAA